rnacentral:lncRNA from 1 species
UGAAUAAACAACAUAUAAACCUAAUAAUUAUUGUGACAUUUCUAUGAAUACGAAACGAAUAUACACUUGGAGAAUCAAUAUAAUUUCUUAGUUAAAUUUUUUUAAGUAUUACUGUUGUAGUACUUAUGUUGCAAGUAUCUCCAACAACGUAUCGAGCCUCAAUUUUUUUGCUACCACCGAUAAGAUGCUUUAAAUUCUCAAACACAAUUCUCCGGACGACAUCUUAGACAUAGCUGCACUCAUGCAAACAAAAAGGUCAGAAUAUUAUACUAAAAUAAGAUGUUCUUACGUACUAGAAUAAAAAUUUGAGAGAUACAUUCACAUCAUAAUUGAUUACAAUUUAUAUUUGUAACAAUACUCAUAUGUAUCUGAGUACACAUAUUUAGCUAAAAAUAAAACAAAACGACACACAUAAAUAUACACAAGUAUAGAACCACUGAUACAAGAAACAAAAAAAUGUAUCAUGUACAAAAAAAUGUAUCUCAAUGUUAUUAACUUAACAACAAAAAAGUUACGUAGAAUAAUAACCAAUUUAACGUUAGAUACAUAAUUCAUUAAAUUAAAUAUAAUUUUCAACAUCUGAUAUGUUAAAGAAGAUGCAUACAUUUUCUUGCCUGAUCUUUUAGCAUAGAAAUUGAAUGAAUGCUCAAUUGCAUACUUUGCCAUGACUGAAAUUAAAGUACACUUGUCCUUAUAGAUUUUUCCAACCUUAACUUCACUAUUUUUGGAAUUAGUAAUGAUCUUGUUCCCCUUCAUAUCAAAUAACGGCAUAGGAGCAGAAACUUUAGAUUUAUAAGUAAUUAAUUUCGGAACUUUUUCACUAGGAUUUUCCAAACACAUUACAGCACCAACUUUAUCAUCAAAUAACUUCUCACUAGCAGACUUAUCUUCUGUUGUGAUGCUAAGUGCAUACAUCUCAAAAUCAAGCUCACUUUUCUUAAUUUCAAUAUAAAGCCUUACACCCAUCUCAUUACAGAUCAACAACAGUGUCGUAUUACCAUCAACUAUGUAUCGAACCUCAAUUUUUUUCGACUUUCGUCAAAUUUUAUCUCUAACGUAAUUGUCGAAAUCAACUUUUCAUACGACACAAAUUCACUAACAACGAUUUCGUUGCUCUUAUAGCCUUCAUACUUUAUAUCGUUAUUCCAAAUGUUGGAGUGAUGUAAUAACACUGAAAUAUUCAUUGCAAUUACCUCAAAAGAAAAAAAAAUAAUUUCAAUUUUUUUUUAUGUGGAAACUGAUUUUGUUUGAGGAUUUUGUUUAAAAAGUGGAAUAACAAACUAAUUACCUUAUAAUGUGGGAUAUUAUUUGCGUUUUUACCUUAAUUAGUUAUGAUAAUUGCUACAUUAAUGCUAUUUAGGCAGUUACAUCCCUCAAAACAAGCAAAUUAAUUUAAUAAUAACAUGUAUCUACAGGAUGUAUCUAUCGCAAAUUGAAUGUAUCUUCAAAGGCCAUAAGUUGGGAUUUUAGAAAAUUUUGAAAAAAGUUAGGAAUAUUUAAUAAAUACCACUAAACAUGUCGUUAUAUAUGUAAUUUUUACUUAAAUAAUUGCUAUGAAUCGUAAUAAGGAGAACUAUAGCCUCUACACAUAAUUAUGAUCCAAACUAUGUAUAGCUAUUUAUGAAAAAUCCUCUUUUUAAAUUAAAUUAAAUAUGAGUGACCCAUAAUAUCAAACACUAAUUAACAACAAGUGGCCCAUCUAUUUCUUGUCAGGCUAUAUCGAAUUUACGGACCACUAACUAUAUCAUUUUCAAGGCCCAUUGGAAAAUGAUGGCACCAAAAUAUUGUAUGGUUUAUAAGCUAUGUAAUGUCAUGCCUACUGUUUGUUUGAUGAACCAUAGCUUUCUAAAUUUAAGUAAAUAUGACAAAAAAAUUGUUUUGUGUAAUAAAAUGAAUUUAUUUGUAAUGGCUAAAUGAAAAUAGGAAUUCAAUUGAAUUUUUAACAAAAAAAUUAUAUUAUAUAAAUAAAAUAAAAAUAAUUAUAUUAAUUGUUAAAUCUUAUUGACAUAAUAAGACUGUAGUAAAGUGAUCGAGGUGAUUCAAAAUUACUUUAGGUCAUAUACUUAAUCUUAGGGGUUCCAUUUAGUAUUACAUCUAGAUUUGUUUUUGUACACAAACCUGCAUUAGCUUAUCAUGAUGAAUGUUAAAAUAAAAACGUAUAUUAAUUACAGGAGUGUUUUAAUAAAAUUAAUGGCCUAACAUUAUUUUUUAAUAAGAGGUCUUACAUAUAUAAACACACAUAUAAAAAUACUACUAUAAUAAUUUUGAGUUGUCUUAUUUGUUCUUACAUAUUAGUUAUUUUUGAUGUAAUAUUUUUAAAAGAUACAUAAUCUUUAACUUCACAUAUUAAUAUGAUUAUUAAUUAAAGUGAGGAUUAAUUCUAGUUAAUAAGAUGUUUGUCAUUUGUUUGCAAACCAUUAACUUGGGUGUUGUUGUUAAACCUUUAUUUAUUAAUAUGAAGUUUGAGUUGUUUAAUUCAAAGUUCUAAAAUAUUUUUGGUAGAAAUUAGGAAGUUUUUUGUUGUUGUUGUUGUUGUUAUUAUUAUUAUUUAGAUAUAUUUUUUUAAAACGUAUUUCACAAUUUUCAUUAUUAUUUCAAGUGAAGUUGAAAUCAUAGAGUUCACUAUUAAAAUUUUUGACGCCUCAAGAUUUUGAGGGUCAAAAGAAUAACGGUUUACUAGCCUUACCCUUAAGUCACCCUUGAUUAAUUACUUAUAAUAUGUAUUAGUUUGUCUCUCAUUUUAACUGUUAUUUUAGCUCUUUUUGUAUAGACGGUUGGAGUAACUAUUUACGUAAAGAUAUAUGCCAUGUAUUUAUAUAAUCAGAAAGUAUAAUUAAGCAUUUUCAUUGUAUACUCCCUCCAUUCGCUUUUACUUAUCACUAAUUUCCUAAUAAAUUGUUAUUUUAGAAUUUUUUUUUCUAUUUUGCCCUUAGCAUUAAUUGUUCUUUCUCCAAAUUAAUUUCAAUACACAAUGUAAACAUUAUUUACUAGGAGUAGAAAUUUAAUUAAAAAAUUCAUUACAAGUAAAAGCGAACGGAGGGAGUAGCUGUAUUGCAGAAUGCAAAGACAUGAUUUUACUAUCUUAUCUCAAAGUUAUAUUUUCUAUAAAAAUAUUUCUACUAUUUAAUUUAAUUUCGGUCUUUAUUUUUUGGUUAAUUGGGAAGUUAUGCAAAUAAAAAAAAAAAAACUGCAAAUCCUUACAAAUCUCCUAUCAUUUUAUAAUUAAUUUUUUAUUUUAAUUACUCGAUCAAUUUCUUUGUUUCAAUUUAUGUGAUAUGUAAUUAACCUUCGUGGAAUUAAAUGAUUUUUUAAAUUCAUAUUUAAAUACUUUAUAUUAUUGUCUAUUUUCAGUUAUGCACCUUUUGUUUGGUAUUCAAACAUGUGAAUUUUAUAGCAAAAAUGUAGAAAGAGUCUAUGUCUAAAUGAAAAUGAUUUUCGAUUAGGAAUUGGCUUUUUCUAUUAAAAUAAAUAAAUAAAUUGGGUAAUAGGAAUAUUUAAUUUCAACCAUAGUGGCAGUUUGAUUUGAUCUUUAAUUAGAAAGAUAAACAAGUUUUGAGUAUAAUAAAUUAAUUCAAAUCAAGAAUGAUCAUUGGAGACGCUUUAUUAAAAUAAGAUAUCUUAUCAAAUCAAGAACAUAAUCAUAGACGUUGACAUAAUUCAUAAUUUUUAACGAGCAAAACUAUGGAUGCAAUAUAUUUUUUAUUGAUAUAUAUAUAUAUAUAUAUAUAUAUAGGUUUACUUAUGCUUGGAACAUAGCAUUUCAUUAAUAUAUAUAUAUAUAUUUAACGAGGAGUAAAAAUUAUAUUCAACUUGUAAUUUUAUUUUUAAAAUCAAAUAAAUACACAUCAAGAAAAGCAUAACUAUUAAAUUAUUUCAUUAUUAUUUAAUUUUGGUAUUUUUGUACUCUUAUAUUGCCGGGGUAACUUGAUUGCACGCCAUAGCAGUUAAAAAUAAGAAAAAAUCACUUAAGACCACACCUUAAGUUUUCAUUAUUACUUAGAAUUUCAUCUCACUAAACUAAUUACAAAAAUUCCUUCUAACUCAUAAAUGUCACUUAUUUUCAGAUACAUCACAAUUUAUCCCUAUUACAUCGCCUACACAGCCGCAAAUCUCGCCCAAAAUUCAGCUAAUAUAUCCGAUGAUUUUCUCAACUCACUCAUUUUGAAUUACCAUAGUCUUCUCAUCCAUUACUUCUACAUUCAAGUUAAAACCUUUCUUUUUCAAAUUUCUUUGAGGUUAAUUUCUUUUUCAAUUUUUUUUUUCAAAAUUCAAUCUAUUAUCAAUUUUUUAUUCUUUCACUAUUUUAAGAUUAUUAGUGGAGCAAGUUAUCAAACAUCAUAACGAUUCGAAUAUGAUGAAGAACUUACGAAAAGCUACUGGUAGUAGCAGAAGCUGUUGCGGCAUUUGCAAAGAAGAAAAAAAAAAAAGCUACAAAAAGAGACUCUCUAUCAAAGGCAUGAAUUAUAUGUUGCGUUUGUGAACCAACAUUCUUUCAAGGUAGAAUAUGCUGAAGACAUUGCUCAACAAUUGAGUGGUAGUCUGUAAAUUCAUUAUCAAAGGUAUGAUUUUUAUGCAUCAGAUUGAUAAAUUUCGUCUAUAUACACUCUAUUUAUGUAUCAUAGUGCAAAAUGAAAUAAACGGUACUGUAAAUAUUAUUUUCGAUACAUAGAUCUAUUUUUGACAGGAAUAUUGCACUCAUUCUGAUACAUAGAUCUAUUUUCUGACCAAACUAUUGCAUGAUUCAGAUAAAUAGAAAGAUUUGUAUAUGAUAUGGGUUCUUUUACACCUCCUACAUUUAAUUUAUAUAUUUUUUUUGAUACAUAAAUAUAACGAAAUUAAGUUUCAAAUUCGUUUUAUGAUACAUAGAAAAAUUGUAUGCGAUAAGAGUUCUUUACACCUGCUACAUUCAAUAUAUUUUUUUCUAAUAUAUAGUACUAGCGAAAUUAAGUUUCAAAUUCGUUUACUGGUACGUAGAAAGAUAUGUAUGUGAUAUGAGUUUCGCAUUCCUGAUACAUUAAAAUUUUCACAUAGAAAGAUAUAUAUGUGAUAUGAGAUUCGCACUCCUGAGACAUCAAAUUCUUAUAUUAUGUUCAUUUUUUUUCCUGAACGUAGGGGAUGGGAUUUUUUAUGAUGAACAUGGAAUGAAUGAUUGGAGAAAGAAUUAGUUUUGGAAGAUUAUGACUGAUGAAACUUGAUUUGACUAUUCAAAUUUCAAAUAAUGAAGUUGUUAUAAAUUUUAUGUAAUUAACAAACACAAUCUUAAAUUGAGUUUGUUAAUUACUAAAUUGUUGGCGCUUUUACUGUUUUUUUUUCUUUUUAUCUCCAAUUGAUUAGUUAGUAAUGUAUCAUAAACUUACGUAUCGGGAAUUAAAUAAUGUAUCAUAUUCGGGAUAUCACGUAAUUAAUAAAAGUUGAAAGAGAGAGUAAUCAGGUAGUAAAAUAUUGGGAUUUAUGUAAAAUGCUCUAAAAAUAAUUGACAAUAUUCAACAUAUCAUUAAAAAUUAUUGUAAAGCGAUAAAUACUCUUUCAUCUUAAUCAAAGAUCUCGUGACCGAUCUUCAGAUAAAAUCAUCUUUGAUAAAAAACUAUUUACCCUUUAAAAUAAUUUUUUUUUGAUAUAAAUUAAGAUUAGACGAAUAUCAGAAUUCAAACAUCAGACAUAAGAUGAGACAAAAGAAACAUUAGAGCCUGGAUUUUAACAUUAUUUUGUUAAGUUAUUACUAUUGUUGUCCUCAAUUAUUGAUUUUUGGUAACUAUACACCUAUGUCCCCACCACCACUUACCCAUCGUGCGCUCCUCCAACAAAUUAUUUCCUUUCCACGAAAAAUUCUCUCCUUUUCCUUUUUUUUUUUUUCUUUUUCAUAACGAUUGUGUUUGUGUCGAUUUUUGUGUACCUUGAUUAAAUAUAUUGAAUAUGUAUCAUGUUUUAUGAGCAACAAAAUUCUUUCCUUUUCUACUUUUUUUUUUAAAUAAUGACGGUAUUUGUGCCAAUUUUUACAUAUCUCAACUAGACACGUGUUAUUUUUCAUCAACAACAAAUUUCUUUCUUUUUCCUUUUUUUUUUCUUUUUUUUUAAUCAUUGUGAUCAUGUCAACUUUUGUGCAUCUCAUUUAAAUCUAUGGAAUACUUGUCAUUUCUCACAAACAAUAAGUUUUGCUUUUUUUUUUUUUUUUUUUUUUAUGAUCGUGAUGAUCACGUCAUCUUUUGGACACCUUAUCUAAAUUCAUGAGAUACCUGUCACCUUCCCAUAAACAACAUAUUUUACUCUCAUUUUCCUUUUUUUUUUUUUUUUUUAUAAUUAUGAUAAUCACAUCAACUUUUACGCACCUCACGUAGAUUCACUGAAAACCUACCACCUUGCACAAGCAACAAAUUUCUCUCCUUUUCUUUUCCUUUCCUUCCCUUCAAAAAUCAAGAAACUUCUUCACAAAAUCAAGAAAUCCCCUUACACCAGAACAUUAAAGUAAUGGCUUUUUUUCUUGUGACCAAGAAUUUAAUGAACCCCAUCUAAUAAUUUUCUCUUUCUCAUGUUGCUGACGUGGUGAGAUACCAUUGGUUGUCUGAAUGAUAUGGGACCCACGUUAAGUAACACUUUAGCCACCAACCAACUCAUGAGCCAAAGUAUCUUAAGGUUGACCCAUUUUCUAGUCUCAUGUAGAUCACACAAAACAAAAUUCUUUGCCACUUUCUAAAUUAAGUGUUCAAGUUAUGAAAAAGGAAAGGUAGCUGAACGAGAGCAAUUUUAUCUUCAUGAUAUGAAAAAGGUAUGUAGUGAAAAUCUUGUUAUGUUUCUUUCUUGAAAAUAAUUGAAGCUUUAAUGGUUCUUUAAUGAUCUUUAGCUGAGAGUAUAACGAAAACAACCUUUUACUUUGUAAGAUAGGUGUAAGGUCUGUGUACUAUUAUCCUUCUCGGACCUCGCCUAUAAAAUUAUACUGAAUAUGUUGUUGUUGUUUUGCUUCUUGCAAGGUAAGGAAAAGGUGUGUACCUACUACCCUCCCCAAACAUCCCUCGUGAAAUUACACUGAAUAUAUUUUUGUUCUUGUUGUUUCCAUUCUUGAAAAUUGAGGCUUUAUUGGUUCUUCUAAUGGUCUACCAGAAACAGUCUCUGUAACUUGUAAGGUAGUGGUAAAGUAUGUGUACGUACCAUCCUUCUGAGUCACUUGUGGAAUUAAACUGUUUAUGUUGUUGUUGUUUCCCUUCUUGAAAAAUUUAAGCGUCAUUGGUUCUUUAAGGCAGUCUGAAGUAACUUAGGAAUCUCUAACAAAAAGGUAUGUAAUGAAAAUCUUGUUGUGUUCCUUUCUUGAAAAUAAUUGAAGCUUUAUUGGGGGUUUUAAUGGUCUUGAGCUGAGGGUCUAUCGGAAACAGUCGGGGUAAGGUAUGCAUACUCACUAACCUCCCCAGACGUAUGUUGUUGUUGUUUCAACUUUUGAAAACUUGAAGCUUUAUUGGUUCUUUAAUGGUUUUGAUCUGAAGGUCUAUGGGAAACAGUCUCUCUACCGUGUAAGGUAGGGGUAAAGUAUGUCUACGUACUAUCCUUCUCAGAUGUCACUUGUGGGAUUACAUUGUAUAUGUUGUUCCGCUUUUUGAUAAAUUGAAGCUUUAUUGGUUCUUUAAGGCAAUUUGCAAUAGUUGAUGAAAGUUAUUUUUGGCUUAGUUUGAUGAAUUUCUUGAGAAUUACUUACUUUUAUGCAAUUAUAGUGUUUUGGUGGAUAUAAGGUUUCUUGAUUUAGUGUUUGUAAAUUAUAUUCUUUGCCACUUUCUAAAUUAACUGUAUCAAGUUAUGAAAAAGGAAAGUUGAUUUAAAGAGUGCCAUUUUAUCUUCAUGGUGUGUGGAGAGCAUUUACUGAGAAUCCCAUGAGAUGUUUUUAAACAAAAAGAUAUUUAGUGAUAAUCUUGUUAUGUUUUUCUUGAGAAAAAUUGUAGCUUUAUUGGUUCUUUAAUGGUCUUGAGCUUGUUGAGGGUCUAUCGGAAACAGUCUAUUUACCUUGCAAGGUGUGGGUAAGGUAUGCAUACGCAGUAUCCUCCCCAGAAGUCACUUGUGGGAUUACACUGAUAUGUUGGUUGUUGUUAUUUUCCUUCUUGAAAAAUUUAAGCUUUAUUGGUUCUUUAAUGGUCUUGAGCUUAAGGGUUUAUCGGAAUAGUCUCUUUAUCUUGCAAGGUAGGGGUAACGUAUGUGUAUGCACUACCCUUCCCAGACCCCAUUUGUGGGAUUACACUGAAUAUGUUGUUGUUGUUUCGCUUUUAGAAAAAUUGAAUUAUUUGUUCUUUAAUGGUCUUGAGCUAAGGGUUUAUUAGAAACAGCCUUUCUAUCUUGCAACGUAGGGGUAAGAUAUGCGUACACACUACCCGCCCCAGACGUGACUCAUGGAAUUACACUGAAUAUGUUGUUGUUGUUGUUUCCCAUCUUGGAAAAUUGAAGCUUUAUUGGUUCUUUAAGGAUAUUUGAAGUAGUUGAUGAAAUUUAUGUUUGGCGUAUUUCAUAGUUUGGAGAAGUGUUUGAGAAUUACUUACUUUUUGGUAAGUAUAGUGUUUUAGUGGAUAUAAAGGUUUCUUGUUUAGUGUUUGUACAUAAUUCUUGUUGAAAAAAAAUUGAAGCUUUGUUGGUUCUGUAAGGCAAUUGGCAGUAGUUGAUGAACGUUAUGUUUGGGUUAAUUCUUCAUAGUUUGGAGAAGUAUUUUAGAAUUACCUAAUUUUGCGUAGUUAUAGUGUUUUGGUUGAUAUAGAGAUUAUUUGUUCAAGGGCAAGAGAGAGUUGCUCGGAUGGUAAGCAUCAUCCAACCUUUGAGAUUGUGUUUCAUAGCGGAAAAGGACUGGAGCUGCUAGGGAGGGGUAAAAGAAAAAACUUUUCUUGUUUAGUGUUUGUACGUAAUUUCUUGUGGAAAAGCCUUGAACUUUGAUUGAAACAAGAGAUGGACACAACAAUUUCUGCGUGUUUGAGCUCGGAGGAAGUUAAAUUCUAUUUUAGGUUUCGUGUGACACAGAAGAAGUUAGUAGGCGUAGCUAGGGGCAUAAGGGGUUUAACCGAACCCCUUAGCCGUAAGAUUAAACUGUGUAUAUCUAUGAGAUCAAAAUUAUUUUUAUGUAUAUAUAGUAUAUAUUGAUUCCAGAUGGUUUCUUCAUAUGUUUAAUUCUUUGUAAUUUGAACUCCGUAAGUGAAAAUCCUGCUUCCGCACCAGGUACAACAAACUAAAAUAGCUUGUGUUUACAGUUAGGAUUUUUAGUUUAAUCGAUAGAUAGAAGAGAAGUUGCAUGAUCGAAUUCUCAACAAACAUAAGCAAAUUGAUGUCUAUAAAUACUUGGUUAGCUUUAAUGUAAUUCGUAGUUACAGCUAAUUAGGUGGCUUCUUGCUCUAAUCCUAAGUUUUGAGAUUUGAAUCUUCUCAAAUAGCACAAAGCUAACAGAUUGUUGCACUUUGUUCUGGUUCAAUAUUCAGUUGCACCAGCGUUUUUCUUAUUUGUGAGGAAAAAGUGAAAAGAUUAUGUAUAGGAAAGAAAGGAUUUGAACAAUGAAAAAGUCAAGUCCUUACUCCUAACAAAGUCAUGAAGGUACGGUUGACGCAUGAGUGAAAAAUUCAGAUUGAUUAUCUGUAAAUAAUCGACUGAAGAUGUUAUGGGGUUAAACAAUACAACAAUAUACCUUUAGACAAAUUUGAGGGCUAAGAACAUGUUAUGUUUGUUAUUUCGCUUAGAAAUCUGAAAUGCUUCAACAUGGGAGAUGAUCAUUUUUGUUGGAAAAGGAAAUAUAGAGCUGGCAAAUCGAGAAUAUAAGCUUAUUAACACCCCGUCUUUGCUAUAUAGUCCUUCAAUAUCUCUUUCGCUUCUUAGGUUCCUACUUAAUUCAUUUGGUCUGUUAACUUCGGAAACUAGUAUGUACCUGCAUUUUCAUCUUGUGAUACUUCCAUUCCCAUUGCAGCUGCCUUAUCGGAAGUGCUGAUCAAUGGCAAUUGAAGAAUUGGUUGUACGUACUGCUGAUAUUAUCGAUCAACAAGCAAUGGAAACCUUGUUGAUCGAAAAUCACUCAAGUGAAGCCAAGGACAUGGAAAAGAUGAGGAGUUCGAUGGAAAUAUUGAGUAGAGUAGAUUUGGACCUUGCAUAUUCUGAUGAGAAAUUGACGAAUCUUGACAAUCUUUUGAUGCGUGUCUUGGCCUGCGAAAAUGAAGUUGAAGCAAUUUCUUUCGAGAAUGAUGAGAUUUCUCCUGACUCAAUUGAGAAAGUACUGACGUUGGAUCACUUAUCUGCCAUUUUAAACUCUGAGAUAAGGCAACUGGACAAUUUCAUAGGCACUCUUCAAGACCUUAUCACUGAAGCGAGGCAAAAGAUGUCUACGUGCAGAGAAUUUAGUGAGUUGCAUAUGAUAAUGGAGAAUAAAUUUCAUGAUACCGAAGAGUUGUUGCGACAAUCAAAGGAGCGUGUCCUAGAAAUGAAGAUGCAGCUUGCCAAGUUGCAGAUGACUUCAUUAGCUUUCGACAAAAAUGAAUGUAAGUUAUGAAACUUAUUAGGUUCAAGAACGCGAUUGUUUCUUUCUUUACUAACAUGUCAAGACAUUACAUCGUUUUGUGGUGCAUGUAUUAUCAGGGAGACAUAGUAUGAGUUUGGAUUUAUCAGACAUUAAUAAUGCGUCAACAAGAGAAUUUAAGCCACACAUGCAGACAGUUGAGCAAAGACGUAUAUUAAGAAUGUUGGAAAAAUCACUUGAAAGAGAGCUUGAUCUCGAGAAGAAGUUGACUCUACUUAAACAAAAUGAAGAUGAUCUAAAGUUGAAACUCCGGUUAACCGAGCAAGUAGCUCUAUGCAUGGAAGAGGGUGCAGAGGUUAUAUGGGGUAGGUUUUUAGAGUCAGAAAACACAGCAGAGGUACUCAUGGGAAUUUCCAGAGAAAUGGUUAGCCGACUACAGGUUGUUAACUUCAAUUUAAACGGUUCACUUCAACGAGAGAAAGAUUUCACAUCAAAGAUUGAUAAUUGCAUAGGACAGAUAAAUGCCAAAGAUAUUACCAUACAAAACCUUAAUAGCUGCAACAAACAACUUGCUGCUGAAAAUGCCGAAGUAUCCUCUUUAAGGGACAGGCUGAAACUUUUAGAAGAUAAGUUGAAAGAAUCCGAGUCUAAAUUACUUAAAGCAAAUGAACUGAAUGAAGCAAGUGAAGAGCGGCUUAAAGAACUGGAAUGUAUCGUAGAAUCUCAAAAAGAAGACAUCGAUAUUGCAGAACACAAGGCUGAAAGCGCAGAGGAAAAGGUUGCACAUUUGACCGAGACAAACUUGGAACUGCACGAAGAGUUGGAUUUUCUCAAGAGUAGUAAUGAAAGUAAUGCUAAAAAGGUCAGCAUUCUUGAGAAAAAGGUUAGAGAAUUAGAACUUCAGCUACAAAAUGCUAAGACUUCAUCAGAAGCAGGCCAAGAACAACAGAAUAUGCUGUAUUCAGCCAUUUGGGACAUGGAAACUUUAAUCGAUGAACUAAAACAAAAGGUCUUAAAAGCCGAAAGCAAGACUGAGCAUGCAGAGGAACAGUGCCUAAUUUUAUCUGAAGCUAAUUUAGAACUUACCAAAGAAGUAGAGUUUCUAAGAUCAAGAGUUGAAGGAUUGGAGACUUCUUUGAAUCAAGCUACUGUUGAGAAACUUGCAAGUGCAAAAGACAUUAACAUAAAAACCAGCUUUAUAAUGGAUCUAGUCAUGCAGCUAGCUAUAGAAAGGGAGCGAGUACAAAAACAGGUGCUUUAGUUUUCUUUUUUCUGUUGCUUUUUGUACGGAAAUUCAAAACUUAAAAGUGAUUGUAAGCACUGACUUGUUUUUACGCGACAGAUGUUUUGUUUGGCCAAGGAAAACAAAUCAUUGGUCAGGACGUUGGAGUCAAAAAAGGAUCAGCUGUCCAUAAAUGUACUUGUGAAUGGAGUUGAUGAUAUUGGGCUGUCAUCUUCUAGAGUUGCCUCAACAAUCGCUGCCGCUAAAGACAGUUCGUGUGAACUGCUAACAGAAUCUUCACUGAAGAGCUCCCAGGUACUUAUUGUCGUAUAGUCAUUCAGCAUUUACUAGAUGUUAUGUUCCAAUAUAUGCCACUUAAAGACAUUAGUAUGUUAUGUUUUUUAGUCUUUGCGUUAGAAUUGAGGUCUCAUGACUAAGGGGGAUCUUAGUAGUUCAGUAGGUUGUCUACCGAAACUUGCACCUUGUUGUUGAGGGUUCGAUUCCCCACCUUGUAAUCCCCUCCGCCAUUUGCCCUUCAAAAAAGAGAUGGUCUUAUGAUUAUGCUUUUGCAAAGACACAGAGUUUUGUGCUUAUAUAGGAUUAGUCUUCCAGCAGAUAGCUUUUUUGUUCUUCUCAAUAAGCUUCUUCCGGCGGCCAUUUACCGUUAACUCUGAUACAAACUUCCUUUCUCAACAGACUACCAAGCUCAUAACAAAAAAGAAAAAAAUGGUCUUUAUGCCAUUGAUAGAAAGUAGUAUAAAGAUAGCCUCAAGGCUUUGUGCAACUUGUGAUGUCUAGAUUAGGUGCGUGUCACUGGUUCGAACUCAAGCCCUGCAUUAGACAAAAACCUGGUAUUUAAGUGAAGGGUGGAGCAGUACUAUUAUCCACCGAGUUCCAAAUCAUAUGACACUAGCCCUCAGAGAUUUCUCGGUUAUUAAAGGAGAGUAGUCUAAAGAUGCUCAUUAGGCCUGACCUCACCGAACCUCAGAAACUAGCAGCACGUAAUAGAUUAAGGUUCUGAGGGUUAGUCACCUUGUUCUAUGUCAUCUAAUCUGCUAAAUCUUGAAUAUUUGCUCUAUUUAUUGAUGGUUCACGUGAUCUUUUAAUGGGCAUAAUACAUAAACAACUACUCAAACUCGGCCUCCGUUGGCAAGUAAGCACUCCAGCUUUGAGAGUGCACAUGUAGACACCUCAACUUGAUCUCAAUUGACAACUAAACAACUCGUCCCCACUGUGUCUCGUGAACACUUGACGCUGCUGAUGUGAGACACAAAUUUUGGAGGUGUCUAGAUGAUCGUUUCGUAAGUUGGGAGCGUUCAACUGACACUGUAUCAAAGUUUGAGCGUUUUACUUGCCAACCGAGGCCAAGUUUGAGUGGUUGACUUCAUUCAAUAAUCCUAAUAGAUGUUGGUACUCCGAUUCAGGUGAUCAACGAAUUAACUCCUGAUAAAACGACUGAUCAAAGCAGUAAGUCUUCCAUUUCGACAAAUGACGAGCCUUCUAUGGUUGUCAAGUCGGAGGAGACACAGGUUCAGUUACAGACAACACAACACCAACACAAGUACAUUGUCAUGGCAAUCUUCGUCUUGUUACUUUCAACAUUAGGAUUAUAUAUUUUUGACAAAAGAAACAACAUCCUCGACUGGUCGAUGGUUAGAUUAUAGUACUUGUGCUGCAAUACAUUGUACAGAUUCUUUGAUUGUUUUCGUGUUCAUGAUCUUCUUCUAUUCCCUGUAAAUGUUGUUGUUCAAAGCUCAAGAUAGAGCAAUUCUUUUAAGCAAAUUGUGUUGUUGGAAUGAUUAUUGCAAACUCAAAAGAUAUUAGCCAUUUGUAAAAGUAAUUGUGUUUUUAAUGGAAUGAGAAUUGUUGUUGAUUGUUCUUGUACUCAUUUUGCCUUAAAAACUCUUCUAAAAAGAGACAAAAAUAGUUCGGUCAUUCGAUUGUCAUUUCACAUUAUUUUAGGCAGAGUCUGUUUAUUUGACACCUCCAAGAAUUAUAUUUAUAAAUAACUCGAGAUCGAUCCAAAAUAAAGCGGAAAGAUUUUGUUUUCCUCAUCAUGAUGCGACAAUAAACUUCAUCGCCAUUUAAGUAAACAUUCUCUUAUACUCUUACCAAAAAAAAAAAAAAAAAAAUUUUUUUUAACCUCUACAAAAAAAAAAAAAAAAAAAAACAUUUAUCUUAUACAAUGAUGCAAUUCUAAGACCUGCAUAAAUGAUCAAUGGAGUAUAUAUGUUUUUUUUUUGAUUUAAUUAUUUACAUACGCAAGUCCCUUUUUCACAAACUACAUCCCCAAAUAUACAACGUACGUACUGACAAUCUUCUACAUCGCGGCACAUCCUGAACAGACGUGUUCGAUAAAUAAAAAAGGGCAGCCCAGUGCACUAAAGCUAUCGCUGUGCGUGGUGUUUGGGGAAGGGUUUCCAAGGCUUGAACCCGUGACCUCUUGGUCACAUGACAACAACUUUACCAGUUACUCCAAGACUCUCCUUCACGUGUUCGAUAAAUAAAUAAAAAAAUAUUGUCAUGAAUUAUUACGUACCUUUCAAUUUGGGGAAGUAUGUCUUUGGUGCUAAACAUGCACAAACCCCAUCAAUACAAGUUGGAAUCCCAAAUUGACCAUCACAUGAGAUGUUACAAUCUACUCCAAGCUUACAUUCAUUUCUUGUCACCAAACCUAAAAAUUAUGAACAAACUCGUUAGUAUAUCGAUAAAUUUGAAAGAAUUAGUUUUAUAGGUUACUCUAUUUAAUAAGAGAUCUUUAUUUUACAGAGAAAUCUGAAAAAGUCUUUUUUUUUUUUUUUUUCAUUUUGCAAAUGACAAAGAGAUCUUAAUCCCUCGAUACAUUUUUGGAGAAUCUAGCUGCCUAGUUAUAUAAAUUCCAUCAUAGAAAAAAAGAGAAAAUAGAAAUAUACCAUAACCAUGCGAAAUAAUCAAGAAGGUAACGACCAAAACUACAUAAGUUCUUAAAGCCUUGUCCAUACUGCCUAAGAAAAAGUUU